rnacentral:rRNA from 1 species
CAGCCGCCGCGGUAAUACGGAGGGAGCUAGCGUUAUUCGGAAUUACUGGGCGUAAAGGGCUCGCAGGCGGUUUCUUAAGUCUGAUGUGAAAGCCCCCGGCUCAACCGGGGAGGGUCAUUGGAAACUGGGAAACUUGAGUGCAGAAGAGGAGAGUGGAAUUCCACGUGUAGCGGUGAAAUGCGUAGAGAUGUGGAGGAACACCAGUGGCGAAGGCGACUCUCUGGUCUGUAACUGACGCUGAGGAGCGAAAGCGUGGGGAGCGAACAGGAUUAGAUACCCGCGUAGUCCCUGUCUCUUAUAC